rnacentral:rRNA from 1 species
UAAGGGCGCACGGUGGAUGCCUUGGCACUAGAAGCCGAUGAAGGACGUUACUAACGACGAUAUGCUUUGGGGAGCUGUAAGUAAGCUUUGAUCCAGAGAUUUCCGAAUGGGGAAACCCAGCAUGAGUUAUGUCAUGUUAUCGAUAUGUGAAUACAUAGCAUAUCAGAAGGCACACCCGGAGAACUGAAACAUCUUAGUACCCGGAGGAAGAGAAAGAAAAUUCGAUUCCCUUAGUAGCGGCGAGCGAAACGGGAAGAGCCCAAACCAACAAGCUUGCUUGUUGGGGUUGUAGGACACUCUAUACGGAGUUACAAAGGACGACAUUAGACGAAUCAUCUGGAAAGAUGAAUCAAAGAAGGUAAUAAUCCUGUAGUCGAAAAUGUUGUCUCUCUUGAGUGGAUCCUGAGUACGACGGAGCACGUGAAAUUCCGUCGGAAUCUGGGAGGACCAUCUCCUAAGGCUAAAUACUCUCUAGUGACCGAUAGUGAACCAGUACCGUGAGGGAAAGGUGAAAAGCACCCCGGAAGGGGAGUGAAAUAGAACCUGAAACCGUGUGCUUACAAGUAGUCAGAGCCCGUUAAUGGGUGAUGGCGUGCCUUUUGUAGAAUGAACCGGCGAGUUACGAUUUGAUGCAAGGUUAAGCAGUAAAUGUGGAGCCGUAGCGAAAGCGAGUCUGAAUAGGGCGUUUAGUAUUUGGUCGUAGACCCGAAACCAGGUGAUCUACCCUUGGUCAGGUUGAAGUUCAGGUAACACUGAAUGGAGGACC